rnacentral:rRNA from 1 species
AUUGAACGCUGGCGGCAGGCCUAACACAUGCAAGUCGAGCGAGUGGCGGACGGGUGAGUAAUGUCUGGGAAACUGCCUGAUGGAGGGUGAUAACUACUGGAAACGGUAGCUAAUACCGCAUACCCUCGGUUUUGCCCCUAUGCGAUUCGCUAGUAGGUGGGGUAACGGCUCACCUAGGCGACGAUCCCUAGCUGGUCUGAGAGGAUGACCAGCAACACUGGAACGGAGACACGGUCCAGACUCCUACGGGAGGCAGCAGUGGGGAAUAUUGCACAAUGGGCGCAAGCCUGAUGCAGCCAUGCCGCGUGUAUGAAGAAGGCCUUCGGGUUGUAAAGUACUUUCAGCGGGGAGGCGUUACCCGCAGAAGAAGCACCGGCUAACUCCGUGCCAGCCGCCGCGGUAAUAG